rnacentral:lncRNA from 1 species
AAUGCAGAAAGACUAUCUAAAUCUUGAAAAGUCUUCCACCAGGUUAUGCGAUCCGGCAUACGAGAUCAACAUCUAGGGCUCGGUUCACAUAUCUGGCAUAUUCGAUUUAGCAACAUCCGCGAUGGGAAUCGAGCAAGUCAUCGUAAGUGGCGUGGACAAAAGGAAGUCCAGGCGAAGGCGGCGGCAAAUCGGUGGAGGUGGGAGAGAGACGACGGAGUGAGUUCAAGAGAGAGAUGGAUGGGGCGAAGGCGGCGGCCGUGGCGUCGACUGUGGAGCAGGGGGCGGCGGCGGCAUGAAAAGGGGGCGGCGCACGGCGCCCUAUUGGUGCGCCGAAACAAGGAUGAUUCUACAGAAACAACGAUGAACUUCAACCUUCUUCGUCAAUCUAGUGAUUUUUUAGCAGCGUAUAGAAUGUAUCUGUUCGGAAUCGUAAUGCCCUAAUCUGAAAUCUCCAUGAAAAUUUUGAAGAGUAGUGGAGGAGUGAAAUGCGGAAGAACCCAAUCUUCAAGAUUUUCUUUCGUGUGUAAAUUUCCAAAUAACUCCUUACAGACUAAAGAAUUCGAGUAAUUUAAUGCCAUGGGUUUUUAAUAAUCAAAAUCAUGAAUAAAAGGCAGUCGUAGGAUCUAGGGGAUCGGAUGGUAUAGGUUUAUUCUCUAUUCUUUACCAUAGUGUAAUUCUCUAUUCUAGCCCUCCCCUAUAUAUAUAUAUAGUGAUUAGUUUUAAUAAUAGUGUCACUUGUAUUGGGUGUUAGUGUUAAUUGUAUCUAUUGUUAGUGUCAGUUUGAGAUAGUGUUAUUUAUAUAGAAUGAUAGUGUCAUUUGCACAACAUCUUGCAAUUUAUAGUAUGACAAUUUCUUAUUAUUUGUUUACAGCAUCUGACAAAGGGAAAAACAAUGACGAUAAUGACUAUGAAAUACCUAGUUUUCAUCUGUGGACGCCACUGGAUGCCACCAGACAGUGAUCCACAGCCUACUGACAUAAUUAAUGAAGUAUGUGAGGCUGUGUUGCUGCCGCGCCGGGCAUUAUGAAUUGCCUAAUUUCGAAUGCAAGAGGAUUGGGGAAUCCGGGUGCAUUCCAUGAGCUUCGCCGGAUGAUUUCCGAUCAUUCCCCAGAUUUACUUUUUUAUGUGAAACAAAGUUGCGUGUCUUAAGAUUUGAUGGUCAGUUUAUUGUGGAUUCCAAGUGUGCUACUGGUGGUUUGAUUCUUUUAUGGAAAAGUACUCUUAAUGUUUCUAUUCAGAGUUUUUCUGCAUGACACAUCGAUUAAUUGGUCACGAGCUAUGACGUCCAAUGGAGAUUCACCGGGUUUUAUGGCAACCCGGAUCAUUCUAAGAUACAUCACUCUUGGAUUGUGGGGUACAAAAUCUCCCUUGGAUUGUGGGAGGCGAUUUUAAUGAGCUAUGGUGUCAAAAUGAUAAAAGUGGGGGUCAAAAGCGUGCAUGGUCAUAUAUUGAAGCUUUUCGUCAAGCGGCGAGCGCUUGCUCCCUUCAACCUGUUCAUAUGGAUACGGAGUACACAUGGUUUAAUCAAAGAUUUGGAUCGGAUCCUAUCUUCUCUCGUCUUGACUUCUUUUUCAAUCAUCUCAACUUUCCAAAUUUGGGCAUGCUGCUGCACGAGUACUCGACUUGUUUAGCUCGAAUCAUCGGGCGGUUUCUCUUCCCUUGCUUGCACAAGAGAAUUGCAGCAGUACCGGAGGGGGGAGCCAGCCCCGUUCCGGAGAUUUCAUGGGCCCUAGGCGAAAUGAGAAAAAAUGGCCCUUUUAAUUGAAUAUGCUUGUGUGCUUGUGGGCCCUUUUUUUAAUAGAAUAAGAUUGGAGCUUUUGGGUUUGUAUGUAUUUUUUACUGAUUGAGGCCCAUUGUACAACUAAAAAAAUUAUUUUCAUAUAAUAAUAGCAAUAAAAAAAAAAAAAAAUGGGGCCCCAUUUUGCCCUGGGCCCUAGGCGGUCGCACCCCUCGCCUAUGCCCAGGGCCGGGCCUGGGGGGAGCCGGUUCCAUUUUGAGCAAAAAUGGCUGCUAGAGAAGAACUUUACUUCCGAUCUAUUGAAUCAUUGGAUCUUCGGACGGGGGCUAUCGAUUCAUUCACAACUUGAUAGAUGUCGGGCGUACCUUAAGGCCUGGUCGAGGGACAAGGUUCAGAACCCUACCAAGAAUAUUGAGACCUUGCGAAAGAAAAGAAUGACAAUUCUUAUCAGGGGCCGAUCAGAUGAAAUCCUGGAGCAGGUACAGGAGGUUAAUGUACAACUCGAGAAAUUGGCUGAAGCGGAGGAUUUCCACUGGAAACAAAGAUCCAGAGUGAAUUGGCUGGGAUUGGGAGAUAGGAACACGAGAUAUUUUCAUACUUUUGCCUCGGCAAGAAAAAGAAUAAUACUAUUGUUGUCUUGCUUGACUCUCAUGGUAUUCAUACAAAGAAAUAUGAUAAGAAGGCCAGCAUUAUUCAAGAUUUCUUUGGCCGGUUAUUCUGCUCUAGCAAUCCCACUAGCAACAAGAUACAAGAGGUGAUUGGCCACAUUAACAUGAAAUUUUCUUGCGAGGAAACUCAUGCAUUGGCUGAGCCAUUCACAAAGGAAGACGUUCGUAAAGCUCUUUUCCAAAUGCAGCCUAAUAAAGCCCCCAGACCCGAGGGAUUUUCCCCUAUAUUUUUCCAUAAAUUUUGGGGAGAAAUCAAUAAUUCUGUUACGUGAGACGUUCUUAAAGUACUGAAUGGAGUGGAUUCUGUGGUUGCUUGGAACAAAACUCUUAUCGUCUUAAUUCCCAAAGUGAAGAAACUGAUGAAUGUCAAGGAUUUUAGACCUAUUAGUCUUUGUAAUACUACCUUUAAAAUGGUUACUAAAGCUGUUGCUAAUCGGCUUCGGGGGUUUCUUGGAUCCCUUAUUGAUGAAGCACAAAGUGCUUUUGUCCCAGGGCGCCUAAUCUCGGACAAUAUUAUGGUGGGUUAUGAAUGUCUUCACUGGCUUCGACAACAUAAAACUAAUAAAGUUGGUUAUGCCGCGGCCAAACUUGACAUGAGUAAAGCCUAUGAUCGGAUGGAGUGGGAUUUCUUACAUGUUAUUAUGUUGGCUAUGGGGUUCCCGCGAUCUUUGGUGGAGCUGAUUUAUGGGUCGCUCAGUCCAUCCCGGGGUCUCCGACAAGGCUGUCCCUUGUCACUAUUCUUUUUUGUUAUUUGUGCUCAAGGCUUAUCUUCCAUUCUUAGAAGCAAUGAACGACAAGGACUUUUUAGUGGGAUUUGUAUUGGCCGCCAUUGUCCAACGAUAUUACAUAUUUUCUUUCGCGGACGAUAGCCUUCUCUUGUUCAAGACCUCUUCUUUAGGGAUAUCUAUGGUUCGUCGAGCUCUGGAUAUUUAUUCCCGAGCUUUGGGUCAAGAAAUUAAUUUCGAGAAAUCCACCAUUACCUUUAGUCCAAGCUUUUCUCCCGCUGAAAUUGAAGAGACUACUCGGAUUUUGGGAGUUCGCAACACUGAUGGGCUCUCUCUCUCCUUGGGACUCCCUACGUUCAUUUUGUGCCAGAAAAAAGUCCAGUUCGAUUUUCUUAGAGAGAGGGUGGCGACGAAACUUGGCUCCUGGAAACACAAAUGUUUCUCCGUUGGGGGAAAGGAAGUUCUUAUCAAGUCCGUGAUCCAAGCUAUGCUGACCAAUACAAUGUCAGCUUUUAAGCUUUUUUUUUGGAAUUGCCCAAAUAAACUUAACUUGUUUUUUUUCAAAUAAUUAUUUUAAAUUAUUCAAUUAUAUUUAUAUGAUAACUUUAUUCUAUUAAAUAAUUAUGCCGAAAAAAUAAAUCAAACUUAAUGAAAGGAAGGAAGUAAUUAAAAGCGUACUUGAUUGACAAUCUAACUCAAUUGACACAUCUAUAUAUCUAUAUAUAAAAGUCAAGCGCAGCCAUGUUUGGCCAUUUCCUGCCAAAAGAGUGUCUCAUUUUAACCAAUGUGCUAUGUACUUAGCAUAAAAAUGUCUGGUGUGUAAUAUGCUAUUCGCUAUGUAUUUACAUUAAAAAAUAACUUCAACAUCUGAUUUACAAGAAGCCUUGGAGGCCAAGCCUGACAACUAAUAAUCUAUUGGGUAAACAAAGCAAUUUAUUGGGUAAAUAUUGAAUUUGAUGGAUAAUACCUAAAUAUUGAGACUAUAGUUGGAGCCCAAACUUGAAUUCUAUGAGUAGCCUCCAAGUUUCCCCUCUAUAAAAUGAAUGCUUUACUUCCACAUAGGGGUGAGCAGAAACCGAAUCGAAAUGCAAAACCGAAUCGAACCGAACCGUUUUGGUGCGGUUCGGUCCCGAAUCUAUUGGUUCGGUUUUCGGUUCGGUUCCAAAAAUUAAAAAUCGAUAAGUUUCGGUUCGGUUUCAGUUUUCAAUUUUUGGUUCGGUUUUAAGCCGAACCGAACCGAUAAAUAUUAAUAUUUUAUUAUAUAUUUAUAUUUUAUAAUAUAUAUUCAAUUUUCUAAUUUUUAAUUGGUUUAUAUAUUUAUAUUUUAUUAUAUAUUUAUAUUUUAUAUAUUUUAUAAUAUAUUAAUUGGUUUUUUCAUAAAUUAUAUAUUUAUAUUUUUACAUUAUUUUACAGGUUUUUAAUUGUUUUUUUUCGAAAAAAAAGAAUUUUUUUUGCAUUGGUUCGGUAAACCGAACCGAAACCGACAGUUUUACCGGUUCGGUUUCGGUUCGGUUUGGCACCCCCAAUUGGUGCGGUUUGGUUCCAAUUUUAACUAUCGGUUCGGUUUUCGGUUUUGAAUUUUUGGUUCGGUUUUGCACCGAACCAAACCGAUGCUCACCCCUACUUCCACAUUUCAGAAUUGCAAUCAUACUAUUUCACAAACGUCACAGUUGCUCAAGGACACCUGCUCUAAUUGCAACAAAUAUUAAAGGGAACUUACGUGUUCGUUGGAAAAUGCAACUCUAUUCGAUGGCGUCGACGAAGACAACAAAAAAAGAUGGGAAUUAGGGAUCAAUAUUGCUGCAGAAAGAAGAUUAUCAGUAACAAGGAUGAAAGAAGAAACAGCACGCGGCUGAUGAAGAAAUAAAAUUAAGAAGAAUAGCGUUUGUGGGAUAGCACCGCUUUUUGAUUCUAGCCCUAAAAUUACAUGGUUUUGUAUUUGGUUGUUGAAUUGAGCUUGAUUUGGUCUUGGUAGAUUUAUAGGGCCAUUGGGCUAUAUAUUUGAUUUGGGCCGAGUACAAUUAUUUGAUAUGCUUAGUAUAAUUGUUAAUUUUUUGUCUUCGUAUUAUAG